CUCCACCUGGUCACUGGCAGGCUGAAGAUGAUGGACUUUGAUUCUGGAACCUUCUUCAAAGCCAGGCUCCAGAGGGAAUUUGCAGAUGAGUCCACAUGCAGGGGAUGCUCCCAGAUUUGGGCAUUGCACAGCCUGGCAGGGAACCAAAGGUUCCCCCUUUGCUGGGGCGGAUGCAGCUGAUCCUUCAGUCGGCUGCCCAGCUGCUUUUGGCAGGGCUGGGGGGAUGGGCUGGGGUGGGUACAAAAUGGGAGUGGGCUCCUGGCCCUGCCAACAGCCCCCACCACCCACCGUGCCCUGGGCUGGGGCUGGGGCAGCCAGCCCGACACAAACCAACCCCCAUGGUGGGAGCAGAGGUGGGACUCCAGAACCAGUGCAGGGGCUGCUUUGCUUUGCAGGCAAGGAAGGGCUUGGGCUGCUCCACUGCCCUUGUUUGCUUUGGGAUCACCACUAUUUUGGGGGGCAGUGCAGGGGGGAAGGGAGAAAGCCUGGGCUUCCCUCACCUCUGGGUGGGCUUUUCCCUGGCAUGCAGCGGUUGGGCCUUCCUCAAGUCCCUGUCAGAGAUAUGAUUUUUCUUGUUUUCUUGUUUCCCCUUUUUGUCUGUAAUCUAUUUUCAAUAAUUUGUUGUGUGUUUUUCUAGAGGAAGAGUUCUAGGUGGGGUCCAGUCUGGAUGAGGAAGUGCUUGGGAGCAGCUGUGGCGUGGAUGGGCCGUGCCCUUGGAGAAGGUUGAGGACAUCGUUUUGGACCAGCUUUUCUUCCAGCGGUGGAUGGCGUCAGCCGGGCUCUGCGGAUGCUGAGGCUGCUCUGGGCUCUGCCAGGGCUCUGCUGGAGCUCAGCACCGGGCCAGAAUCAGCCAAAGAAGAAAUGGUGUGACCUGCAGCACAGACUUGCUUGAGCAUUUCAGCAACACAGCUCAAGUUUGCAGAGUGCACACCUCCAAGGGAAAACAUGCCACCACCCAAAAAUUAAACUUGUUCAAUAGCUUCUGAAAUGAAAUCAA